rnacentral:lncRNA from 1 species
CGUGACCUCGCGGGCGCGCGCCGGAGCCGCCCUGGGGGAGGAGCCCGCACCCCUCGAGCAGGUGAGGAAACCAAGGCUCAGAGAGGUGAAUCUGUGUCACACUGGUAACUAUGGAGCUGGGACCCUCCUGUCCCCUGGCCAGUAGGCUCCAGUGGAACCUGCUCCAGUGCUUCUGUACAUUUUUAGCAGAGCCCUGGCCGAUGCCAUCCUGCAGUAAAGUUGCUGCCUCUUCAAACGAGGGCUGUGCAAACAUCACGCCCCAGAAGUGCCCUUGAUCUGUCAAGGUGAGUGGGUCACCUGCUCGGGGGUGACACUGUGGCUCCAGGGGAUGCAUCUUAAGGGGUUACGGGAGGUCCCUCCUGCCUGCCAUCGAGUCCUCCUCCACGAGCAGUGCAGGACCAGACCUUCUCUGGCUCCCUCUGGAUGCUGCUCCCAGCCUGUACCACCUCUCGGGUUCCUGAGCCCCAAACCUCACCUGCAGCAUCUUUCCUGGGGCUCCCGGGCCACCUUUCAUCUCUUGCCUUCUUGGACUUGGCACACAGCCCUGGGUCACCUGCCGGCGGACUUUGCUCCUCUCGCCGGCCCGGCGCGAGGCACGGCGGGUUAAUUGCUGUCAAACAAGCCCGGAGGUCACAUCAGCUUUGCCUCUCGGGCUGUGUGACUUCGGACAAAUUUCUGAAUCUCUCUGAGCUUGUGUUUGCUCAUCUGUGUGGGGGUCACAGUGAUACCUGCAGAUGCUCUGAGCUUCUGAGUUACUGGCAUCGCAGGCUGCUGCUGCUGUGGUCACUGCUCCAGACAGAUGUUAACCCCCCGUGUGCUGGCGGGAGCAGCUCGGCCGCAAGUGGUCUCGGGGUCCAGGGGUGUUGA